UGUUCCUUUUACAGACAGUUCCCUCGACAUUCCAGCCAGGAUGAGAAUCACUGCUGGUCUCUUCCUCCUCCUCAUACUGUCUGAUGGCAGGGGCUGUGGGGGCUCAGAUCUAGAGGAGAAAUUCCUCAGGGUGACUUUGAGAACCAUCUGACGGCCUCUCACAGGGCUGAGACUAGGAGUGAAGAGCAUGGAAUAAAUAAAGAGAUCAAGUUCACAGGAUUUGGUGCUCACUCCACAGCAAUCCAGAUCAAAACUAUGUUCCCAAAAACCUGUCCCAGUCUUCCAGGUGAUAGAACCAAUAUGAGGAUUCUUAGAAACUCUACAUACAUCGCCUCCAAUGAGAUAUUUGGAAACUGAGGAGAUUCCCGCCAAGUGGAUGUGUGGAGACCGAGAACCCACUGACAUAUGGGUGGGCCUAAGACAGGACUCAAAUUAAGUCAUCUCCCCAAAUGCUUCUCUAAUGGGGGUUCAGGAUGGUACUUUGGCUUCCAGACAUCAGUGUCAAAUUGGACUCUAUGCAGCAGACAUAAAGGGACCUAGAUCCUCCUUUGUUCAGUUAAUGGAAAUCUGAAAAUUGGCCAUUGGUUCCUAUAUGGAAGGACGAAGGGAAUUCCUACUGUACCCAGUUGCCAUAUAUUCUAGGGUAUUUCCUCAGGGGACCUCAGCUCCCUUCAGCCAGUGAGUCCUGGGUCUCAGAAUUGGCUCAAGUCUGGAAGCUGGAUAAGAAAUGAUAACUUUCUAUUAGGCAACUCAUCUCAGCUCUCAAUUCAGUUAUUCUUAUUAAUUAUCAUGUUAAAUGACACUUUUUUAAAAUUUAAAAUAUUAUUUAUUCAAAAGCCAACAAGCAGCUGGAGGAAUAACUCUCCUAGACAAUACUACAGAGCUACAGUAAUCAAAACAACAUGGUAUUGGUACAAAAUCAAAAGUCAACAAGCAAAUAUAGGGGGGAGGCAAAGUUCUUACAGUCCAUGCAGGGGUCUCAGCCAAAACUGCUUACAAGAGCCAGUAGGCAUGUAAAUGUGGAUAUGAGCUAGAGGGAGACACGUCUUCCAAGAAGCACUGAAGUCUUCAAGGAUUUAGCUCAGCUAAACACAAAUUUAACUUAAGGAAUAGAUUUAAUUUCUCAGGCUGUAAUAAGGUUUCUUAAUCUUUUUUUUCAGUUUUCAGUUUUAUUAGGUAGAAUUGUUACAAUUUGACUGCACAUAUACAAUAUAUUGCAUGUAAAUACAUAUACACAAUAUACUGCAUGUAUUUC